GGGGGGNCGAAGGGAAGCUAUCNUGCANUCGAGCGAACAAUAAGAAGCUUGCUUUUUGUUGGUUAGCGGCGGACCGUUGAGUAACACGUGGGUAACCUGCCUGUAAGAUCGGGAUAACUCCGGGAAACCGGUGCUAAUACCGGAUAGAUUAUCUUUCCGCCUGGAGAGAUAAGGAAAGAUGGCUUUUGUCAUCACUUACAGAUGGGCCCGCGGCGCAUUAGCUAGUUGGUGAGGUAACGGCUCACCAAGGCGACGAUGCGUAACCGACCUGAGAGGGUGAUCGGCCACACUGGGACUGANACNCGGCCCAAACUCCUANGGGAGGNAGAAUUUUGGAAUCUUCNGUAAUGGAAAAAAGUCUGACGGAUCAUCCCCNUUUGUAUUAAAAAUGUCUUCAGAUUUUAUUGCUCUGUUUUUAAGAAAAAAAAAGAAACAGGACGGGAUCCCUCCCCCGUUCUGCGAACCCUCACGUCUAUCUAUUUGACAGAGUAAUCCUUGAUAAGCGGGGAGAUUUAUUUAGGUGUGGUGUAGUAAUAUAUCCGCUAUGACACCUUAUUAUUAAGAGAUAUUUUACAAACCUUUUUAUAUUAUUUUACUAGUAUUGUCCCUUUACCUAAUCUUUUUGCAUGUGAAACACUUUUUAUUCUUUGGAGUUGUGUACUGAAUUUCUGCCACAUCUUGUGCUAUAUAUCAUACCAAAUAUUAGUGUUCACUUCCUAGUUUUUAUUUGUUUACUCUUCAAGAGUGCAAAAUGCUUAUUUAUAUCUUUUAUUAUAACUUCUACCUCUAUUGCGUCCUUUCAUGUCACAACUAUGGAUACAUGUU
rnacentral:rRNA from 1 species